CUCCUACGGGAGGCAGCAGUGGGGAAUAUUGCACAAUGGGGGGAACCCUGAUGCAGCAAUGCCGCGUGGGUGAAGAAGCACUCCGGUGCGUAAAGCCCUGUCAGCAGGGAAGAAAAUGACAGUACCUGGACAAGAAGCCCCGGCUAACUACGUGCCAGCAGCCGCGGUAAUACGUAGGGGGCGAGCGUUAUCCGGAUUCACUGGGCGUAAAGGGAGCGCAGGCGGCACGGCAAGUCCGGUGUGAAA
rnacentral:rRNA from 1 species